rnacentral:rRNA from 1 species
UACGUAGGGUGCGAGCGUUGUCCGGAAUUAUUGGGCGUAAAGAGCUCGUAGGCGGCUUGUCGCGUCGGAUGUGAAAGCCCGGGGCUUAACCCCGGGUCUGCAUUCGAUACGGGCAGGCUAGAGUGUGGUAGGGGAGAUCGGAAUUCCUGGUGUAGCGGUGAAAUGCGCAGAUAUCAGGAGGAACACCGGUGGCGAAGGCGGAUCUCUGGGCCAUUACUGACGCUGAGGAGCGAAAGCGUGGGGAGCGAACAGG